rnacentral:rRNA from 1 species
AGUAACUGCGAGUGAAGCGGGAAAAGCUCAAAUUUAAAAUCUGGYGGCCUCUGGUCGUCCGAGUUGUAAUUUAGAGAAGCGUCUUCCGCGCUGGACCGUGCACAAGUCUCCUGGAAUGGAGCGUCAUAGAGGGUGAGAAUCCCGUCUUUGGCACGGACGCACCAGGGCUUUUGUGAUGCGCUCUCGAAGAGUCGAGUUGUUUGGGAAUGCAGCUCAAAAUGGGUGGUGAACUCCAUCUAAAGCUAAAUAUUGGCGAGAGACCGAUAGCGAACAAGUACCGUGAGGGAAAGAUGAAAAGCACUUUGGAAAGAGAGUGAAACAGUACGUGAAAUUGUUGAAAGGGAAACGCUUGAAGUCAGUCGCGUCGACCGAGACUCAGCCUUGCCUUGGCUCGGUGUAUUUCUCGGCCGACGGGUCAGCAUCAAUUUUGCCCCUCGGAUAAUGGCGAGAGAAAGGUGGCACCCUCACCGGUGUGUUAUAGUCUCCCGUCGGAUGCGAGGGUCGGG